rnacentral:rRNA from 1 species
GAUGAACGCUGGCGGCGUGCUUAAUACAUGCAAGUCGAGCGAACAGACGAGGAGCUUGCUCCGCUGACGUUUGCGGCGGACGUGUGAAUAACACGUGGAUCACCUACUUAUAUGACUGGGAUAACUUCGGGACUCCGGAUCUAAUCCCGGAUAAUCUAUUGAAGCGCGGUGUUCAAUGGUGAAAGACGGUUUUGCUGGCAGUUAUAGAUGGUUCCGCGCCGCAUUGGGUAGUUGGUAAGGUAAAGGCUUAUGAAGGCUACGAUGCGUAUGCGACGUGAGAGACUGGUCGGCCACACUGGAACGGAGACGCGGUCCAUACGCCUGCGGGAGGCAGCAGUAGGGUACCUGCCGCAAUAGGCGAGAGUCUGACGGAGCAACGCGGCGUGAGUUGUGAAAGUCUUGGGAUCGGAAAGCUCUGUUAUUAGUUAUGAACCACUGUGUAAGUAACCAUGCACGUCUUGACGGUACCGGAUCAGAAAGCCCCGGCUAACUACGUG